rnacentral:rRNA from 1 species
UACGUAGGGUGCGAGCGUUGUCCUGAAUUACUGGGCGUAAAGAGCUCGUAGGUGGUUUGUCGCGUUGUUCGUGAAAUCUCACGGCUUAACUGUGAGCGUGCGGGCGAUACGGGCAGACUAGAGUACUGCAGGGGAGACUGGAAUUCCUGGUGUAGCGGUGGAAUGCGCAGAUAUCAGGAGGAACACCGGUGGCGAAGGCGGGUCUCUGCAGUAACUGACACUGAGGAGCGAAAGCGUGGGGAGCGAACAGG